UGGGGAAUUUUGGACAAUGGGCGAAAGCCUGAUCCAGCAAUGCCGCGUGUGUGAAGAAGGCCUUCGGGUUGUAAAGCACUUUUGUCCGGAAAGAAAUCCUUGGCUCUAAUACAGUCGGGGGAUGACGGUACCGGAAGAAUAAGCACCGGCUAACUACGUGCCAGCAGCCGCGGUAAUACGUAGGGUGCAAGCGUUAAUCGGAAUUACUGGGCGUAAAGCGUGCGCAGGCGGUUUGCUAAGACCGAUGUGAAAUCCCCGGGCUCAACCUGGGAACUGCAUUGGUGACUGGGCAGGCUAGAGUAUGGCAGAGGGGGGUAGAAUUCCACGUGUAGCAGUGAAAGUGCGUAGAGAUGUGGAGGAAUACCGAUGGCGAAGGCAGCCCCUGGGCCAAUACUGACGCUCAUGCACGAAAG
rnacentral:rRNA from 1 species